UCUAAAUAAAGUAUAUAUUUGUUAUACUUAUUUCUGUCAAGCCACGGAAAGAGGACCGAUUUCCUGCAACGUGAUUUAAUGCAGAGAAGACUCUACCCAACCCUGUAUAAGCGGUGAUAAAGGAAAAGCAGCGAUACGAUAAAGCUUAGAAUUUAAAUAUCUACAUAUAAACAAAAUAGGACACAGUAGGCUUUAGCGGAGACAGGUCUGGCGACCGUUCGAAGGAUAAAAUAAAUAAAUUCGGCUGUGAGACACCGACGCGUACAGACGUGCGACAAUAUUAUCAGCAUAAAGUUGAGUAAACUCCAAAAGUACAGCCAGAACGGAGAUGUCACGGUUUAAUUCAACAUGACAAAUAUGAAGGAAGUUGCACCCUUUUACUAUUCUUUAAACGGGGACACGGAGGAGGACAAGAAACUUUUGGAGCCGUUUAAAUACAUUUUACAAUGUACUGAAAAACAUGAAUAUACAGAGUUAACAUCAAUAUUCAACUACUGGCUUAAAAUACCAUCCAAUAGAGUUCGACAGAUUGACGAAAUAAUAUGUAUUAUUUUCAACGUAAA